CAGAUACUCCAAGAUACACGUUACUUUGCCAAAGAAGAAAUUUGAUUAAAACAUCAGGAUGAAGGUUGUUGCUUGUCUAGUUGUUUUUCUUGCUGUAGCAUUGACAGACACCAAUGCAGAUGAUGCUGAGUGUGGUACUGCGAAAACUAAAUGCCAAUCAUUUGAGACUGCUGCUGCGAGUUCUGAUUGCGCGAAGAAAGAACCGUACUUUAAAUGCCUGAGAGAUAACGACUGUACCACAGGUGAAACGUUUAAGAAAUGUAACAGUGGUGCUGGUCUAGCCAUAUCUUGGAUGUUGCCAUUAGUAAUGUUAGUAAUGUCAAAGACGUUCUCUGAUUAAUAAACAAGAAGACGGCGAAGAAGAAGACGCACCAAUAACCAUAAAUCUACAAAGUAUUAGUGCCCACCCGACAUUAGCGUAUGAAAUACAUGUCCAGCUAUAAACGUUGUAAAAAUGCCAUUAAACUAUUUUAUAUAAGAACAAAUAUAAUCUCCUUAAAAUUAACAUUAUUAUGUUCCAUAGAAUACAUACACAGUUAGUAAUCUGUUUUAAUUUCAAUGGUUGUUGAACCUAUAAAUGUAGCGUUAACCGAAUAAACAUAUAUGUAGAUAUAUAUGUGGCUUUAAGUAAAUGAACAUAAUAUGUAGUUUUUAU